UAAUAAAGAUCGUAAUCAAUCUGCAUUCGCUUGAAAGGAUACAGAGAAGAUUAGCAUGGCCCUGUGCAAGGAUAAUACGCAAAAUAUAAUGUAUCGAAGACAGCGAAUGAUU